ACUAGGAGAAUGACAAAUCAGAUUUUUCUUCCAGAUUUUUAAGUUUUUACUCUUGAAAAAAGUUCAAAUCUAACUAAAAAUGCUAAAAAUCAGGUGAAAAAAUCUUAUUUGUCAUUCUUCUAUU
rnacentral:pre_miRNA from 1 species